rnacentral:rRNA from 1 species
CUAGCGUUGUUCGGAAUCACUGGGCGUAAAGCGCACGUAGGCGGAUUUGUCAGUCAGGGGUGAAAUCCCGGGGCUCAACCUCGGAACUGCCUUUGAUACAGCAAGUCUUGAGUUCGAGAGAGGUGGGUGGAAUUCCUAGUGUAGAGGUGAAAUUCGUAGAUAUUAGGAAGAGCACCGGUGGCGAAGGCGGCCCACUGGCUCGAUACUGACGCUGAGGUGCGAAAGCGUGGGGAGCAAACAGG